CCAUUCCCAAAGGCACCUGUACUCUGAGGUGGACGCUGAUCACUGCUCGGUUGGCCCAGGGAGCUGCUGGAUUCACCCACAAGGUGUGAGAACUGCAGGGCUGGUGCUGCUUUGAGAGCCGUAGGCAACACUUAAAAAGGUGAGCUGAAACCCUCCAUUUUUCUCUGUGGGCCUUUAGACCACUGGCCCCUGACAGAUCUGAACUAGGGAUUUGAGUGAAAAAAUACAAGCCUGGGGUGUUUGUCCCAGAGAGAAAAGCCCUUUUGAGAAGAAGGAGAUGCCUUUGACAUUUGGUUGCCCAGGAAAUUUCUCCUAAGCCAGAUAUUGAG
rnacentral:lncRNA from 1 species